UUGGAGGGCAAGUCUGGUGCCCGCAGCCGCGGUAAUUCCAGCUCCAAUAGCGUAUAUUAAAGUUGUUGCAGUUAAAAAGCUCGUAGUUGAAUUUCGGGGUCAGUAGGUUGGUCAUGCCACUGGUAUGUACUGGUCUCACUGAUUCCUCCUUCCUGAUGAACUGUAAUGCCAUUAAUUUGGUGUUGCAGGGAGUCUGGACUGUUACUUUGAAAAAAUUAGAGUGUUUAAAGCAGGCUAACGCCUGAAUACAUUAGCAUGGAAUAAUGAAAUAGGACGUUCGACCCUAUUUUGUUGGUUUCUAGGAUUGACGUAAUGAUUAAUAGGGAUAGUUGGGGGCAUUAGUAUUCAAUUGUCAGAGGUGAAAUUCUUGGAUUUAUUGAAGACUAACUACUGCGAAAGCAUUUGCCAAGGAUGUUUUCAUUAAUCAAGAACGAAAGUUAGGGGAUCGAAGACGAUCAGAUACCGUCGUAGCCUUAACCAUAAACUAUGCCGACUAGGGAUCGGAUGAUGUUGAUUUUUUAAUGACUCAUUCGGCGCCUUACGGGAAACCAAAGUGUUUGGGUUC
rnacentral:rRNA from 1 species